GCUUGAUACUGGGAAAUCCUUUGCAGGAUGAACCAAGUCUUCUGGUUGAAGCACAUGGCCAGGCACAUCACUGGCAAUAAUAUUGUUCCGGAGCUCUGAAAGGUGCCUGAGCUGGAUUAAGAGAUCAAAAUUCUGAGUUGGGAAGACCAGGAUUCAAUUCCCAUCCCUGACAUACGCAUACUAUGUGAUUCAGGGCAAGAGAUAUAAAUUCUCAGUUCCCUAGACAUCGUUUGAAUCCUCUAACUAGAGAGCAGAGCAUGAAAACCUUGCUAUGGUAGAAGCAGAUGGCUCGCCAAAGAUCUUUGUACUGAUGAAAUCUCAUUUCUAGUUUUUACAAAAGAAUCUGAAUUCACAGAGAUGGUUAUCAUGAUUCUUUGGGAAAAUGGUGAAUUUGCAUUGAAACUGUGGUAAAAGUGAGCAUGCCUAAGGAACUCUCGAAGCCUGAAGGUAGCCAUCCAGUGACCAGAUGAAGCAUGGAAAAGACUUAGAGGCACUGCCUCAUUUGUUUCUCACAUGUCUCAUAAGGUGAGGACUAUUAUUGUGUCUAUUUAAUACAUAAUGGCAUUGAGU